GAGUCGUACUGCCUCCGUCACCAGGACGAUGAAUAUUCAGACAUAAAUCUUCAACUUCGUACAGGUUUAUGCACCCACAAGUACAGUAGAUGAUGACAUUGUGGAAGCGUUUUAAAGUAACCUGGGGGCAACGUCGGGUCGACUGCGGCAACGUCGGGAGAUUCUACUCGUUAUCGGCGACUUGAAUGCUAAAAUUGAAAAUACGUAUGCAACGGAUGAAUACUACGGCGGCAUGGAAAAGUUUGGACUGGGUGACAGUAAUGAACUUGUGAUUCAGUCUACUGCCAAGAAGGUUGUACACAUGGAAGUCGAAUGAUGGUCGAACAAGAAACCAAAUCGAUUACAUUCUGGUCGACAAGCGAUGGCGCUCUGCAGUGUGCAGGGCUACAACAUUCUCAGGCGCAAAGAUCGGAUCAGAUCACCAGUUGUUGUGUGCACGAAUGCGAGUCAGACUACGUUGAGUUGGGAAGAAGAUGAUGUUUAGAAGGGAACCACUCACCAGCGCUGAAAGGAGACGUUCAUUGAAAAAGUGUCGCAGGUUAUAGUCAGUAAUAUCAAUAAUGCAUGGAACAAUGAUGUGGACCCUGAUACGAUGUGGACGCAGAUGAGGGACUCUGUGCGGUCGGUUGCCGAUGAGACAGCGCAAGAACGUCCAUGCCGACCAAAAGAACGUCAAAUGUGGAUGACUGAUGCGAACCUUGAGCUUGUACAACGAAGGAAGUCAUUUAGGUAACAGGCACCAGAUGGGUCACCAUCACAAAAAUAUCAUGAUAUAUGCCGUCAGAUACAGCGUAGAUAGGGAAGAGUCCAUUGAAGAUGCAUGUCAAGAUGUGGAGAGGCAUGCAGUGAAGAACGAGAUCAGUGCAGUGUACAACAAGGUGAAGCAGAUGACGCGCGAGUUCAAACCGAAAUCGUGGGCUGUAAAGGCUGAAGAUGUCUCCAUUUUGUGGGCAAGGGAGCAUGUCAUUGAACAUUGGCGCCGUUACUGUAAAACUCUGUAUGAAGAGGAUGUGAUCGUACAACCAUCAGCAGAUAUCCCACGAAUCGUGAUCAAUGCCGAGCCAGAACCAGAUAUUCCUCUUGGAGAUGUGGAAGAGGCGAUAAAGAAAUUGAAGAUACGUAAAGCUCCAGGAUGUGAUGGAAUAAAAGCCAAACUUAAAAAGGAUCUUGGCAAAGUCGCUGUUCGAGCUCUAUGGAAAGUCUGCAAAGCCGUCUGGAAUACGGGCAGAUGGCACAUGGUGCAAAUCAGUGCUCAUCCCGCUACACAAGAAAGGGUCGGCGCGCAUAUGCAGCAAUUAUCGACCAUUGCGCUAAUUCCGCAUGCCUGCAAAGUACUCCUGGAAAUCAUAAACACCAGGAUGACAGCAUUUUUAGACAGGCAGAUACCACCAGAACCAGCUGGCUUUGUCCCUGGACGAGAAACCCGCGAACAAAUACUAAAUGUGAGACGAAAAGGCGAGGGAAUUCAACAUACCCGUAAUUAUGUGCUUCGACUAUUCAAAAGCUUCCUACUUCACUGUUCUAGAUUCUAGUGGAGAUUGGCGUACCAAACUAUCGUGCCGGACUAGUGCGAUCGCUGUACGAAUCUAAUGAGAUGGUCGUGCGUUUGAAUGGCAUCGAUUAUGAACCAUUGAAGGGGCAGAAAGGAGUACGGCAGAGCUGUAUCUUAUCGCCGCAACUGUUUAACUUGUACGAUGAAUAAAACAUGCGGAAGGCACUAGCUAGCUAAAUGUGCGGCGUCUCGAUUGGCGGAAAGAAGCUCUCCAACUCGAGAUACGCGGACGACACGACCCUUAAAUCCGCAAAUAAAUAGCAGAUGAUCAGAUUUAUUGACCGGGUUAAAACCAUCAUCGAAAAACUGGGUCAGUUUAUCAACACGAGCAAAACAAAGUUGAUGGUGGUUGACCGAGUCGGCAGACUUAGGAGACUGACAUCGCCAUCACUUGGUGUUUCGAGAAAGUGGAACAGUUCACAUACCUCAGUUCGCUGAUUGAGGCUUCUCGUGGCUCAAACGCGGAAAUCAGAAGACGGCUCAACAUGGCGAAGUCGGUGAUGACGAGGCUAUGGAGAUUCACAUGUAACAAAGAGGUCUACCUGUGCUUGAGAAUAAAGUUAGUGAGUAAGUUCUUGUUUCCGGUGGCACUUUAUGGGGCCGAGACUUGGACGAUGAAAGCGAUCGAUCGAAAGCGCAUUGAUGCCUUUGGGAUGUGGACCUGGAGAAGGAUGAUGAGAAUCCCGUGGACGGCACAUCGCACUAACGUUUCCUGUUUGGAAGAGGUGAAGCCGGACUCAAGACUUAGUGAAGUCUGUGCAAAAUGGGUACUACAGUUCUUUGGGCAUUUUGUCCACGUGACGCGUCCAGCAUUGAAAAGACAGUCAUUCUAGGGAAAAUCGUGGACAAAAGAAGUCACGAACGUUGCCCUUCAAGAUGUAUAGAUCAGGUCGCACAAUUGACAAACAAGCCGAUCGCCAACGCAGUCCGUCUAGCACAGCACCGCGAGGGCUGGAGAAUAAUCACGAUUCAUUUUGGUCACGAAGGUCAAGCUUGACCAUAGACGAUGAAGAAGAAGAAGAAGUACACCGAGAUUCUGCAUUUUGUCACCCGCCGUGGCCUACUCUGUGUGUCUUUACCUUCUGCUGAUGGUGUCAUUUUACUGCAGCCUCCAGGAACGCAUGAUGUCUCUCCACGACAGAAGGAAUUUUGACUACAAAUUAUACAAUGUGUUACACGUGUCUAUAUGUGGAACCUGUGUGAUAAUCCCUUUGCUUAUGGCAUUAGACUUGAAGAAGCUUGUUCUUUACACAGGCGAAUGGAUGCAAUAUCAGAUACUGUUCCGGAAAGUCACUGGGCAGCUGUUGGUAUUGUCCGUUCGAAGGCGAUGUAUUUGCUACGCAGUUCUCAGCUGCUUGGGAGGAACUUCAACUAUCUUCUUUUACUUCUACGAACCACGAGUUCCUUUAUUAGCCCUACCUAGUUAUAUGUUUUCAGGCAUAUUGGCGGAAAUUAUGGUUAGUUACUGGAUGAUCACUUUCCACAGCCUUUCGUUAGCUGGCAGCAAAUACGCGACAUGUUUCAAGGUACAUUUGAGUUUGCACGUUGCAACUGGGAAUGGUUUCAGACAAACAGGUCUAAAAAAUUCAGGUGUUCUAAUGGAAAAUUUUUUGACACAUUUUUUAGUUUUAACAACUAGAUAUUUUAGGAGCUCAGAGAUAGCUCAGUCAGUACAGUGACUAUCUACGGGCUGAUGUUCGAUCCUCGAACGAUUUUUCUCCUAGCCUCUGCGUCCUAACCGGUUCUGGGGCUCACACAGCCUUUUGUUAAAUGGGUACAGGGAUUCUUUUCCAGCGGCCAGGGCGUGAUACCUACCAUUCAUCCCCAUCUAGUGCCGAUUCAAGAAUGAGUACGAGCUAUAUAUACCUCUCCUCACAAGCGACCUAUAUGGGGUGUAGAGGGGCUGCUUUACUUUAUUUUUACACCUAGGUAUUUUAAACGAAAUUACAGGGAUUUUAAAAAUGUUAAGUUAUAAGAAUUUGAUAUUAGACACACAUCCGUCAAACGACCCACAAAGAGCGAAUAAUUGAAAUUUUUUUAUGUACUUACUUGUGUAUUCGUUCUUUUUCUUAGGCUAAGAAUUCCUGGACCUUCACCUGUAGCUCCACGCACGUAAUCACAGUUUGUUUUUUCCUGUGCCUUGUACUACUUUGUCUGAAAUUAACUUGUUUAUUUUCUUUGUGAUGUCGUAAGUUUAGAAAUGGUAUACACGAAAGUGUCAUUGUGAAGGCAUAAAUAAACUGUAGAUGCACAGUAUCUUUCAUAUGUAACUUGCUGUCGAGUUAAAAAUAUGAAACAGAUAAUCAAAUUAAUAAUUAUUUUGAAUCGACACAUUCUUGUUUAUAAAACCCUGCACAUUUUAUCAGACAUGUUUUCCUAUACGUUGAUGUACAGUAAUAUCUAUGCUGCUACUUUCGAGUUUGGGAUUGAAACUAUGCAUUUUAUAAGCCCAUUCCAUAUUUCUCCUCUGUUAAGGUACUGCCACUGGGAACUCAGUUAAAAAUUUUGUAAAAUACUUUCUAAUGUCACAGGGCAGUAGUUUAUGUUCAUAACGGAUAUAGUACAUCGG